rnacentral:miRNA from 1 species
UGUGGACACAGUCCUUCAUUUU